UACGUAGGGUGCAAGCGUUAAUCGGAAUUACUGGGCGUAAAGAGCUCGUAGGCGGUGUGUCGCGUCGGCCGUGAAAACCUGCAGCUUAACUGUGGGCUUGCGGUCGAUACGGGCAUCACUGGAGUUCGGCAGGGGAGACUGGAAUUCCUGGUGUAGCGGUGAAAUGCGCAGAUAUCAGGAGGAACACCGGUGGCGAAGGCGGGUCUCUGGGCCGAUACUGACGCUGAGGAGCGAAAGCGUGGGGAGCGAACAGG
rnacentral:rRNA from 1 species